UACGAAGGGGGCGAGCGUUGUUCGGAUUUACUGGGCGUAAAGGGCGCGCAGGCGGCGCACCAUGUCGAGUGUGAAAGCCCCGGGCUCAACCUGGGAACUGCGCUCGAAACGGGUGUGCUAGAGUUCGGGAGAGGAGCGUGGAAUUCCCAGUGUAGAGGUGAAAUUCGUAGAUAUUGGGAAGAACACCGGGUGGCGAAGGCGGGUCUCUGGGCCGAUACUGACGCUGAGGAGCGAAAGCGUGGGAGCGAACAGGAUUGAGACGUACCGGAGUCAAGCUCCGAGACC
rnacentral:rRNA from 1 species